rnacentral:rRNA from 1 species
ACUGAACGCUGGCGGCAUGCCUUACACAUGCAAGUCGAGCGGCAGCGCGGGGGCAACCCUGGCGGCGAGCGGCGAACGGGUGAGUAAUACAUCGGAACGUGUCCAGUAGCGGGGGAUAACCUGUCGAAAGAUAGGCUAAUACCGCAUACGACCUACGGGUGAAAGCGGGGGACCGCAAGGCCUCGCACUAUUGGAGCGGCCGAUGUCGGAUUAGCUAGUUGGCGGGGAACGCCCACCAAGGCGACGAUCCGUAGCUGGUCUGAGAGGACGACCAGCCACACUGGAACUGAGACACGGUCCAGACUCCUACGGGAGGCAGCAGUGGGGAAUUUUGGACAAUGGGCGCAAGCCUGAUCCAGCCAUGCCGCGUGAGUGAAGAAGGCCU